ACUUGUUCUGUCCUUGGAACUGAAGUCCCCCGACUUGCCAGGCAGAGCUGGCCUAGGCCAUGCACCUGUGGUGCGCUGAAGGCUGGGCAGCAAGACAUGGAAGCAGAGGGUGCCCAGUGCAGGAAGACCCUGGAAAGAGAUGAGCACCAUUAAGGUCCUUCAUAUGCCAAGAGCACCCACAAGGCAGAUCCACGCCCACAUGACUCCCAUGGAGAAAGAAGGCUUGCGUUCACGCCUCAGCUCCUUCUAAUCAGCCCUUCCCCACCUCCAGCUUCUUUCCCCAUCUGCUCAUCCUUGAAUAGACAUCUCUGCUCCCUCAUUAGGGAGCAAUAGAGUCAACAAGUUGACACUCUCUGGGAAGUUUUCACCCCUAACAUGAUCUACCAGGCUUUCUGUGGUAACAAUGCAGCAGUGAUAUUAAAUGGCACUCGUGGUUAAAAAAAAAAAAA
rnacentral:lncRNA from 1 species